AGAGCUUACUACUCGUACCUUUUGCAUCAUGAUUUAGCAAGAAAACUACAAGCAAAGAGCCCUUUAGUUUGUAACCCCGAAACUGAGCGAGCUACUCCAAGACAGCCUAUAAAGGGCAAACCCGUCUCUGUGGCAAAAGAGUGGGAAGAGCUUUGAGUAGAGGUGACAAACCUACCGAGCCCAGUUAUAGCUGGUUGCCUGAGAAAUGAAUAGGAGUUCAGCCCUUUAAUCUUUCCCCCCUCACCUAUGCUUACGCUAAAAUUGAUUAAGGAAGACAAAGGUGUUAAUUAAAAGGGGUACAGCCCUUUUGAUAGAAGAAACAACUUUAACAGGUGACCCAAGAUCAUAUUACCCAAGGAUUUCAAAUUAAGUGGGCCUAAAAGCAGCCAUCUUAGCAGAAAGCGUUAAAGCUCAAAUUAGCCAACAUCCUCAUAUACUGAUAUUACAUCUCCCUCCCUGCCCCUUACCAGGCUGUCUUAUGCCUUCAUAAGAACAAUUAUGCUAAAAUGAGUAAUAAGAAGAAUUUAAUUCUUCUCCCAGCACAUGUGUAAGUCGGAACGGACCUCCCACCGACUAUUAACCGACCCCAAACCCAGAGGGAAAUAAGUUAAAGAAACAAGAAAAACACUUAUUUUUUAUCGUUAACCCCACACAGGCGUGCUCAAAGGAAAGACUAAAAGAGAAGGAAGGAACUCGGCAAACACAAGCCUCGCCUGUUUACCAAAAACAUCGCCUCUUGCCCCAAAAAUAUAAGAGGUCCCGCCUGCCCUGUGACUAUAAGUUUAACGGCCGCGGUAUUUUAACCGUGCGAAGGUAGCGUAAUCACUUGUCUUUUAAAUGAAGACCUGUAUGAAUGGCAUCACGAGGGCUUAGCUGUCUCCCAUCUCCAGUCAAUGAAAUUGACCUCCCCGUGCAGAGGCGGGGAUAACUACAUAAGACGAGAAGACCCUAUGGAGCUUUAGACC
rnacentral:rRNA from 1 species